rnacentral:rRNA from 1 species
AUUGAACGCUGGCGGCAUGCUUUACACAUGCAAGUCGAACGGUAACAGGCCGCAAGGUGCUGACGAGUGGCGGACGGGUGAGUAAUGCAUCGGAACGUGCCCAGUCGUGGGGGAUAACUACUCGAAAGAGUAGCUAAUACCGCAUACGAUCUAUGGAUGAAAGCGGGGGACCGUAAGGCCUCGCGCGAUUGGAGCGGCCGAUGUCAGAUUAGGUAGUUGGUGGGGUAAAGGCUCACCAAGCCAACGAUCUGUAGCUGGUCUGAGAGGACGACCAGCCACACUGGGAGUGAGACACGGCCCAGACUCCUACGGGAGGCCGCAGUGGGGAAUGUUGGACAAUGGGCGCAAGCCUGAUCCAGCAAUGCCGCGUGCAGGAAGAAGGCCUUCGGGUUGUAAACUGCUUUUGUACGGAACGAAACGGCUCUGGUUAAUACCCGGGGCUAAUGACGGUACCGUAAGAAUAAGCACCGGCUAACUACGUG